AAAUCCAUAUUAAAUAUUUCCAUACCCUUUAGACGGUCCAGCAUCCAUGUUUUUUUUUUCAUGUAUGGUCAGUGAAGUUGGGGAAUGAAUUUUUUAAUUCAAAGUGCAAUGUAGACACCAAUGUUUCCAUCCAAUUUCUAUUGGUCGUUUAAAUGCAGCCUUAUAUUUAGUUUAUAUAUCUAUAUAUGUGUGUGUGUGUGUAUAUAUAUAUAAAAUGGGACUUAAAAGGUUUCAACCAAUAUCAACCACACAGGUGAUCUCCAGGCAUCAUUCUAAAAAAAAAAUGGUAAUCUCCAGGCAUCAAUGCAAAAGUAUUAAUGCAACAUAAAUUUCCAUCACAAUACAAACGUAAAGAAACUCAAAAGUUAUUUAAUUAACCAAAACGCUUCUCUCUCUCUCUCUCUCUUUUUAUAACCUCCAAAACCUAUUUAAUUCAUUGUCAGUUUCAAUCUUCACUUAUUAAUCUCCUGGACUAUUAUAUAUGAACCAUUUUCCACUUGGACAUUCAUCAAAAUAGAUCUUUGGUCUCUUAUAACAAAAAAUAAAAGAAAAAAAGAACAUAUCUUUGGUCUUAUCUUGAUUAAAAGAUGGCCAAGAUCUCUGCUCUAUUUUGUUUCAUUAUCCUAUUUGCUUUAGGGUUUGUUGAUUGUCAUAGAGCGCAGGAAAAAUUGGGGUACAUGAGCUCAAGAAUGGAAAUAUCUCUGCAAAGUUCACUAAUUGGGGUGCAUCCCUUGUCUCCCUUAUUGUUCCCCACAAAAAUGGACAAAUGGCUGAUGUUGUUCUUGGAUAUGAUUCAAUUAAGGAAUACAUCAAUAGCUCCUCGCCUUUUGGUGCAAUUGUUGGACGGGUUGCUAAUAGAAUCAAAGGUGCUCAGUUUACUUUAAAUGGGAACUUGCAUAAACUAGUUGCUAAUGAAGGACACAACACAAUUCACGGUGGCUCUAGAGGAUUCAGUCGUGUUGUUUGGAGAGUGGUCAGGCAUCAAAAAGAAGGAAGUCAUUCCUACAUUCAGUUCUCCUAUCGAAGUUUUGAUGGCAAGCAAGGAUAUCCAGGUGAUCUUGUUGUCAAUGUGAUGUGAACUACAUGCUCAUUGGACAUGAUACAAUGAUAGUAACAUUGAAAGCCAAUGCUCUAAACAAGCCUACACCAGUGAAUCUAUCACAACAAACUUACUGGAACCUAGGUGGCCACAACAGCGGCAAUAUCCUGUCUCAUAAAAUCCAGAUAUUUGGCUCUCACAUCAAGCCUGUUGAUCGCCAGCUUAUUCCCACUAGAAAAAUUAUGCCAGUAACUGGAACACCAUAUGAUUUCCGCAAGCCCCACACCAUUGGAAGCAGGAUCAAGAAGCUGUCUAAUGGUUAUGAUAUUAACUAUGUGCUUAAUGGUGGCAAGGGCAAUAAACUGAGGCGCGUAGCAGUGGUGCACCAUAAGAAGUCAGGAAGGGUAUUGGAGCUGUCAACAACUGCUCCAGGCAUGCAAUUCUUCACAAGCAACUGGAAUAAGGAUUUUAAGGGAAAAGGUGGAUACAUCUAUAAACCCCAUGCAGGACUAUGUUUGGAGACUCAAGGUUUCCCUGAUGCAGUGAAUCACCCCAAUUUCCCUUCACAGAUUGUGAGGAAAGGAAAGCCUUACUCGCAUUCUAUGCUGAUUAAGUUUUCAACUACAAGUCCAUCUGCUUAAUUGUAGAUGACUAAAACCUUCUACAUAAUUUGUUUUUAGCUUUCAUCUGUCUUCCAAUUGUUUCAGUGUAUCCUUUGACAUCAGAACAUUCUUUUUGAUGAAUAAGAAAUUAUAUUUACUAUAUUCCAAAUACUAAUAGAAAGCUGAGACUAACAAUGCCCAUUAUGAAGAGAGGUUAUCAGUGAGUCCCUGGGUUGUGGAUAUUUAUGUACCGAAUAUUGAUUCUAGCUAAGAGAGAAAGUUAUGAAGUGAGCUUCUUGAAUCUGCAAAUUGAACCAAAAUAAGGAGGACUAUCUCAUAUGUCAAAUGAGUCUAUCUUCAAAAUUGAUUCGUCCCUAUAGACAACCCAGUAUACAAUAGCAAAUUUUGCAGUAGUAAAGUUGUCCAAAUAGCUUAAAAUAUAUAUCUUACAUGGACGAGCAUUUCAAAAAUCUUGUCAUCCUAAUUAAAUGUUAAUA